rnacentral:rRNA from 1 species
AGUUGGUGGAGUGAUUUGUCUGCUUAAUUGCGUUAACGAACGAGACCUCAGCCUACUAAAUAGUUACGUGGAAUCAUCGAUUCCCGGCCAACUUCUUAGAGGGACUAUUGGUGUUUAGCCAAUGGAAGUUUGAGGCAAUAACAGGU